ACUCACAUUUCACCGAUAACACCGUUAUCUUCUCUUGUUCUUAAGCUUUACAUAAUUCAAAAUUUGAAUGUUUAAAUAGGCUUGUGGGGCUGCUUACUGGGGGUUGGUCUAAUUUUUCCCUUUAAAAAUCUUCCAUCUGACUCUUCAUUGCACUGGCACCUACAACCAGAACACACUGGGAGAACAACGGAGGACAGCAACAGUGUCCAUCUGACAUCAGUCACUUCAGGUCUCUUCUUCCUUUGGGCAGCAGCUGUGAAGAUGGCUGGUCCUUACUGGGUUUCUGUAGCAGUCGUUUUUUUGAUGAUUGUUAGAAACAGUUUGAGUGCUUUGGACCAACACCAACUUGC